rnacentral:rRNA from 2 species
AGGAUUCCCCUAGUAAUGGCGAAUGAAGCGGGAACAGCUCAAAUUUGAAAUCUCCGUCGCCUGCGACGGCGAAUUGUAGUUUCGAGAAGCGCCCCCCCCUUUUUCUAGGCACGGUACCCCCGUCCAAGUUGCUUGGAACGGCACGUCAUAGAGGGUGACAGCCCCGUCCGUGGCGGGGGCACCGGCCGCCCACGAUGCGCUUUCGACGAGUCGGGUUGUUUGGGAAUGCAGCCCAAAAUGGGUGGUAAACUCCAUCUAAAGCUAAAUACUGGCACGAGACCGAUAGCGAACAAGUACCGUGAGGGAAAGAUGAAAAGCACUUUGAAAAGAGAGUAAAACAGCACGUGAAACCGUUAACAGGGAAACGAAUGGGGUUAGCAAUGCGCUGCGCGAGAUCCAGUCGGCGGGCGGACAGCGCGGACGGCUCCCAGCGGAUCCGCAUGGACCGCGGCCGUUCGGACUCAGCCCUCUCUCCGCCGACGCACCUCUCGCCAGCGCGCGUCAGCGUCGGUUGGCAACGAGUCUCAAAGGCGAUUCGGGGAAGGUAGGGCCGUCGAUUCGGCCCGUUUACAGCCCCUCGUCCGAUAAUGGCUCGAGGCCGACCGAGGAACAGCGGCGCGAGCGAGCUCUUUCGGGGGCUUGCUUGGGGUGCCGUCGGUCUGCUCGGCGAAUUCUGAACUGCGGCGGACUGGCUUGCAGUGCGCCGCGACCGUCGCCGGGCGCUCCUUCGGACUUUCACUCACAACUUACGCGCCCACGACGCUGGCGGUCAAAUGGCCUCAUCCGACCCGUCUUGAAACACGGACCAAGGAGUCUAACAUGUGCGCAAGUCUUCGAGUGACCGAAACUCCCAGGCGCAAUGAAAGAGAAGAGACCAAGCACGAGGUGAGAACCCCCCGCCCUCGCAGGCGGCGGCGCAUCAUCGACCGACCUACCCUCAGUUCUCAGGAAGGUUUGAGUAAGAGCGC